UUCCGGUUGAUCUGCCAGAGGUCACUGCUAUCGGGGUUCGAUUAAGCCAUGCGAGUCGAGAGGGUUCGGCCCUCGGCGUACUGCUCAGUAACACGUGGAUAACCUGACCUGAGGAAGGGGAUACCCCCGGGAAACUGGGGAUAAUACCCUAUAGGUUACCGAUGCUGGAAUGCUCGGUAACUCAAAGUUCCGGCGCCUCAGGAUGGAUCUGCGGCCGAUUAGGUUGUUGUUGGGGUAAUGGCCCAACAAGCCGAUAAUCGGUACGGGUUGUGGGAGCAAGAGCCCGGAGUUGGAUUCUGAGACACGAAUCCAGGCCCUACGGGGCGCAGCAGGCGCGAAAACUUUACAAUGCGGGCAACCGUGAUAAGGGAACCUCGAGUGCCUGUAUAUGCAGGCUGUCCAGGUGUCUAAAACGCACCUGAAGAAAGGGCCGGGCAAGACCGGUGCCAGCCGCCGCGGUAAUACCGGCGGCUCGAGUGGUGGCCACUUUUAUUGGGCUUAAAGCGUUCGUAGCUGGGUUGUUAAGUCUCUUGGGAAAUCCGGCGGCUCAACCGUCGGGCGUCUAAGAGAUACUGGCGAUCUUGGAACCGGGAGAGGUGAGGGGUACUUCGGGGGUAGGAGUGAAAUCCUGUAAUCCUCGAGGGACCACCUGUGGCGAAGGCGCCUCACCAGAACGGCUUCGACAGUGAGGGACGAAAGCUGGGGGAGCAAACCGGAUUAGAUACCCGGGUAGUCCCAGCCGUAAGCGAUGUGCGUUAGGUGUAUCGACGACCACGAGUCGUCGAGGUGCCGAAAGGGAAACCGUGAAACGUACCGCCUGGGAAGUACGGUCGCAAGGCUGAAACUUAAAAGGAUU
rnacentral:rRNA from 1 species